AAGUCCGAAAGAAGCUCGGAGUAAAGUUGAUCGUGAUAGGAGGAAGUUCGAAAGAGAUUCGGAGAGUAGUCGAUCAUUGUAGAAAAUCAGCUGAUAGUGAAGCCAGAGAGCAUUUGGAGUAGUCCGAUAGACGACUGAAGGAGCUCAUUAUUGGAGGAGUCCGAAGGGUACGAUAGGAGUUCGUCCGUUGGAGGAUUCUGAAUGACACCGUAGAAGGUCGACUGCUGGAGGAGUCCGGACGGUACUGUAGAAGCUCGGACGGUCGGGGGAGUUCAGAAAGAUGCCGCAC
rnacentral:lncRNA from 1 species